CUCCUACUCCCUCCGUUCGGAAAUACUUGUCAGAAAAAUGGAUGUAUCUAGACGUAUUUUAGUUCUAAAUACAUCCAUUUUUAUCUAUUUCUCUGACAAGUAUUUUCAGACGGAGGGAGUACUCG
rnacentral:pre_miRNA from 1 species